AUGAGGGUGAUUCUUUAGCUAAUUUGCACAAUAUGUUGUAUCUACCUAUUUUGUGAGUGAUGUGCUAGCGCUUUUGUCGCUUUUCUAACAUAUUCCUGGCAAACUUAUUAGCACAACAUUUCCUUGUUGUAUUGGCAAAUCUAGCCCUGAUGUUAAUUUCGCUUUAUACUAUAUUGUGUAGCGUAGCCUUUCAACAUUUGCAUUUUAUGAGAAUAUUGUGGACACUUGAUUUUUAGUUACAUUAUUUUAGUUUCUAAUAUAUUGACAUAGAGAGAGAAUAAGCCGUAACACGAGUGGGGUGUUGUGUUCAAAUGGAGGAUGUAGAAAUAGAGGACAUAGACAUGUGUGUGUGGGUGGAGCAAAUGGGCAGGGUUUUGGGUCGUUUUAUUAUGUUUUCUCCCGUUACAACACAUGGGCAUAUUUGAGAAGAACUAUUGCUCCACGGAGAAGAAUGUGCGGCGAAUUUUCCUUUGCAAAUAUUUUUUUGAUGAUAAGGAUUUCUUUUCUUCCGUUGCAACGCACGGAUCCUUUUGCUAGCCAAAGAUGGGGGAUCUUUGGACAGCGCUCCUAAUAUUUAUUUUGUUUCUCGUGUAGUAGUGUGGAGGAUUUCAAGGAGUUUCUUGAUGAUGUCAUGUCUGGUGAUGGGCCAUGGGGAGAGGAGGAGGUCUUGAGCCAUUGGGUUAGUGAAGUGAGGUUUUUUAUCUCCCGUUGCAACGCACGGGUAUUUGUGCUAGUAUUAUAUAUAUAUAUAAUAUUUUUCUCUCCCUAAUAAUAAAGCACGGAUUGGGUCUCCGGGUUCACCGUCGCGGCGUUUUUACAUAAAGGUCCCUAUGGUUUUUAGGAAUUAACCCGCAGUCCACUGUAACCCAAGCGUAAGUGAAAAAAAAAACUGUUCGUACGCAGCCCUUGCUCGCCCGACCGGCCGACCCUGAAAUUGCUCCCCCGCACGAGAACGUGAGGGUUUCUUCCGCCGCCGCGCCCUUCCGCCCCCGCGCCCCCAUCCCUUCGCUGCCGCCGCCGUCCAUCCACUCUGCGGUGCCCGUCCUCGAUCUGCGGUCUCCAAAUCCGGACGAGAUCGGCAGGUUCCACCCCAUCUCCCGUCAAACCCAGCCGCAGCUGCUCGUCGGCCAUGCGGGGAGCACGGACGAGCUGCUCAUCGACGUCCAUCCCGCAGCCCCGCCUACGAAGGUGCCCAGCCUCCUCGACAGCGCGCCUCCUACUUGCCGCACGAUAGGGCUUUCUUCUAUUUUGGCAAGGGUCAAGCUAGCAACUGUGAAGAUGCAGAAUUCAUGCAACUCCAUCUUACUCCAACUCUCAGGUGCCGAAGGCGUCCGAUCGAACUCAGCUGGAGGCCAAACAGGUUCGGCUCUCGGACAUGCCACCAUUAACGCUCGAUGACACCGAUGCGCAGACUUGAGGCAAUUUAGUUGCAUGCCUUCAGUUACAAAAAAAGUAACAAGAGUUGAACAUACGAAUUGGUCAUCAAUGGCCGCAGAACAGGAGAGCAAUUUCAAUGGACAAUGGAAACAUGAGUAAAACAAGCAGCUAAACGAAGGCCGCUUGCCCAGAGUGUCUCGGAGGAGGAUGUCACUGCCGCUAGAUUGGCGGAUGACUACUUCUUGGUGGUCUAUGGAUGUCGCACUGUAUGGAUCUUUAUCUGUAGUUGGAUAGUUCCUGACCUCAUUCCAGGAGGCUGAUUGGAGCCUGCCAGUUGCAAUGAAGUCCUCCAGAGAUAAGGGUUUGCAGAAAAUGAUCUUGGCAUCCCAGAUAAGCAGGUCGAGGUCAAAGCCGGUGCCCAGGGGGAUUUCAAUGGAUCACCAACACGAGAAACUGAAAUGGCAGGACCAGAAAAGAUGGUCCCAGAUCUCACUGCAGCCGGAUGUGCAAGAACACAUCAAUGAUCAUCUGUGAGACUGUGACACUGAAAUUUUGUCGAUGGAGCAUUGCCUCUGCUAUUUAGCUUCUAGAGUACAAUGACCUGUACGUACAACUAUAACAGCUAGCAGCAUGGUUUAUCCCUUCUGAUUGUACUAUUUCUCUAGAGUGAUGGCAUAGGAAGAGCGUGUGUAUAUGUUGAGGUUAGUCUUCUGAAACUAAUGCUCCAGAUGUUCUCUGUAAACUAAUGCUGCAAGUGUUUGUUUGGGACAAGCCCAAAUAGUGUUCCAAUUUUUAUGAAAA